UACGAAGGGGGCUAGCGUUGCUCGGAAUCACUGGGCGUAAAGGGCUCGUAGGCGGCCAACUAAGUCAGACGUGAAAUCCCCAGGCUUAACCUGGGAACUGCGUCGGAUACUGGAUGGCUUGAAUUCGGGAGAGGGAUGCAGAAUUCCAGGUGUAGCGGUGAAAUGCGUAGAUAUCUGGAGGAACACCGGUGGCGAAGGCGGCAUCCUGGACCGACACUGACGCUGAGGCGCGAAAGCUAGGGGAGCAAACGGG
rnacentral:rRNA from 1 species